ensembl:snoRNA SNORD27 Small nucleolar RNA SNORD27
ACUCGAUGAUGAAUAGAAAUGACAAGCAUAUGGCUGAGUCCUGAGUGAUGUCAUUUUAAUGCUGAGAAGU